rnacentral:rRNA from 1 species
UAGUUAAAAUUUAAAGGUAAAUUCUGCCCUAUGAUUAAUUUUAAAUGGCUGCAGUAUAUUGACUGUGCAAAGGUAGCAUAAUAAUUAGUCUUUUAAUUGGAGGCUUGUAUGAAUGAGUAAAUGAGAAAUUUAUUUUAUUAUUAGUAUUUUUAUAAUUUAAUUUUUAAGUAAAAAAGCUUAAUUUAUUUUUUGGGACGAAAAGACCCUAUAGAAUUUAAAUUUUUAGAUUUAUAUAAUUUUUUAGUUAUAUUAUUAUAAUUUAAUAAAUUUUUAUUGGGGUGAUAAAUAAAUUUGACUUUAUUUUUUUUUCUCAUUUAAUAAGUGUUUUUUUGAUCCAAGGUUUGAUUUUAAGAUUAAAUUACCUUAGGGAUAACAGCGUAAUUUUUAUGGGAAGUUCAUAUUUAUAUAAAAGUUUGCGACCUCGAUGUUGAAUUAAGAUAAGUUUGUGGGGCAG